rnacentral:rRNA from 1 species
UAGCGUAAUCACUUGUUCUUUAAUUGAGGACUAGUAUGAACGGCCCCCCGAGGACUACACUGUCUCCUUUUUCUAAUCAAUGAAACUGAUCUCCUCGUGAAGAAGCGAGGAUAAUUAUAUAAGACGAGAAGACCCUAUGGAGCUUUAAACAACCGGGGUACUUGCUAAUUCAUUUUAUAUCUUCUGAAAACUAAACAAAUUAAAGCAUCUUACCACCAAGUUUUAGGUUGGGGUGACCACGGAGAAAAAACUAACCUCCACGCUGUAAGAAAUCCACCAUCUUCUAAGCUUAGAGCCACAUUUCCAAGCAUCAACAUAUUGACUUCCAUUGACCCAAUAAUUUGAUCAACGAACCAAGUUACCCUAGGGAUAACAGCGCAAUCUACUUUAAGAGCUCAUAUCGACAAGUAGGUUUACGACCUCGAUGUU